AAUAGAUACCCGGGUAGUCCACGCCGUAAACGAUGAGUGCUAAGUGUUAGAGGGUUUCCGCCCUUUAGUGCUGCAGCUAACGCAUUAAGCACUCCGCCUGGGGAGUACGGCCGCAAGGCUGAAACUCAAAGGAAUUGACGGGGGCCCGCACAAGCGGUGGAACAUGUGGUUUAAUUCGAAGCAACGCGAAGAACCUUACCAGGUCUUGACAUCCUCUGACAACCCUAGAGAUAGGGCUUUCCCCUUCGGGGGACAGAGUGACAGGUGGUGCAUGGUUGUCGUCAGCUCGUGUCGUGAGAUGUUGGGUUAAGUCCCGCAACGAGCGCAACCCUUGAUCUUAGUUGCCAGCAUUCAGUUGGGCACUCUAAGGUGACUGCCGGUGACAAACCGGAGGAAGGUGGGGAUGACGUCAAAUCAUCAUGCCCCUUAUGACCUGGGCUACACACGUGCUACAAUGGAUGGUACAAAGGGCUGCAAACCUGCGAAGGUAAGCGAAUCCCAUAAAGCCAUUCUCAGUUCGGAUUGCAGGCUG
rnacentral:rRNA from 1 species